CCUACGGGUGGCAGCAGUGGGGAAUAUUGGACAAUGGGGGGAACCCUGAUCCAGCCAUGCCGCGUGUGUGAAGAAGGCCCUCGGGUUGUAAAGCACUUUCAGUGAGGAAGAACGCCUGGUGGUUAAUACCCAUCAGGAAAGACAUCACUCACAGAAGAAGCACCGGCUAACUCCGUGCCAGCAGCCGCGGUAAUACGGAGGGUGCGAGCGUUAAUCGGAAUUACUGGGCGUAAAGCGCGCGUAGGUGGCUUGAUAAGCCGGUUGUGAAAGCCCCGGGCUCAACCUGGGAACGGCAUCCGGAACUGUCAAGCUAGAGUGCAGGAGAGGAAGGUAGAAUUCCCGGUGUAGCGGUGAAAUGCGUAGAGAUCGGGAGGAAUACCAGUGGCGAAGGCGGCCUUCUGGACUGACACUGACGCUGAGGUGCGAAAGCGUGGGUAGCAAACAGGAUUAGAUACCCUGGUAGUC
rnacentral:rRNA from 1 species